rnacentral:rRNA from 1 species
AGAUUGAACGCUGGCGGCAUGCCUAACACAUGCAAGUCGAACGGGAGUAGCAAUACUCUAGUGGCGGACGGGUGAGGAAUACGUAGGAAUUUGCCCUUAAGUGGGGGAUAACCCGGGGAAACCCGGAUUAAUACCGCAUGACCUCGGAAGAGCAAAGUGGGGGAUCGCAAGACCUCACGCUUUUGGAGAAGCCUACGUCGGAUUAGCUAGUUGGUGAGGUAAUGGCUCACCAAGGCGACGAUCCGUAACUGGUCUGAGAGGAUGAUCAGUCACACCGGAACUGAGACACGGUCGGACU